rnacentral:rRNA from 1 species
GUGCAUGCGCGUGCUUACACAUGCAAGUCGAACGGUGACGAUGGGGCUUGCCCUAUCUGAUCAGUGGCGAACGGGUGAGUAACACGUGAGUAACCUGCCCUUCACUCUGGGAUAACCUCGGGAAAUCGUGGCUAAUACCGGAUAUGAGUUCCUACCGCAUGGUGGGUGCUGGAAAGUUUUUCGGUGAAGGAUGGACUCGCGGCCUAUCAGCUUGUUGGCGAGGUAAUGGCUCACCAAGGCGAUGACGGGUAGCCGGCCUGAGAGGGCGACCGGCCACACUGGGACUGAGACACGGCCCAGACUCCUACGGGAGGCAGCAGUGGGGAAUAUUGCACAAUGGGCGAAAGCCUGAUGCAGCGACGCCGCGUGGGGGAUGACGGCCUUCGGGUUGUAAACCUCUUUCAGCAGGGAAGAAGCGAAAGUGACGGUACCUGCAGAAGAAGCGCCGGCUAACUACGUGCCAGCAGCCGCGGUAAUACGUAGGGCGCAAGCGUUGUCCGGAAUUAUUGGGCGUAAAGAGCUUGUAGGUGGCUUGUCGCGUCUGCCGUGAAAACCCGAGGCUUAACCUCGGGCGUGCGGUGGGUACGGGCAGGCUAGAGUGUGGUAGGGGAGACUGGAACUCCUGGUGUAGCGGUGAAAUGCGCAGAUAUCAGGAAGAACACCGAUGGCGAAGGCAGGUCUCUGGGCCAUUACUGACACUGAGAAGCGAAAGCAUGGGGAGCGAACAGGAUUAGAUACCCUGGUAGUCCAUGCCGUAAACGUUGGGCACUAGAUGUGGGGGACAUUCCACGUUUUCCGCGUCGUAGCUAACGCAUUAAGUGCCCCGCCUGGGGAGUACGGUCGCAAGACUAAAACUCAAAGGAAUUGACGGGGGCCCGCACAAGCGGCGGAGCAUGCGGAUUAAUUCGAUGCAACGCGAAGAACCUUACCAAGGCUUGACAUGCACCGGACAGCUGCAGAGAUGUGGCCUUCUUUGGACUGUGCACAGUGGUGCAUGGUUGUCGUCAGCUCGUGUCGUGAGAUGUUGGGUUAAGUCCCGCAACGAGCGCACCCUCGUUCCAUGUUGCCAGCGCGUAUGCGGGACUCAUGGGGAGACUGCGGGUCCACCUCGGAGGAAGGUGGGGACGGACGUCAAUCAUCAUGCCCCUAAGG